ensembl:lncRNA
UAGCACCUGUGCUGUCGUAUUGGCUUACAUGCUACGUGUUAUUGGUUUACGGCCCGUGUAUUAUUUUGAGGUUUACACCUUACGCUUUUGUUUGGGUGGAGAAAAUAAAAAAACACUUUCUUAUUCCUGCACCUGUCUCCGCUCAUUAUACAACGUGACACCAUGGUGCUGUAAAGAAAGUUCUGCUGUUGGGACAGCUUUAUGUAGGCCCUAACAGUUUGUGGGCACCAUUUGUCACCGUUCUAGUGCCAUUAAUGUGUAAUUUAUUUAAAGUAUGGAGGAUUCGGACUACUUUGAGCAGUUCCCAGAGGAUGAAGAUGAAGCGUCGACUACGCCGGUGCCAGAGAUGGUGAAGCCCACUCCUGUGUGCCCAGUCAUUCUUCAACGAGAGCUCGACUUAGAGCCAACCUUCCAUCAGCAGAUGGAACACUGUCCAGUACCACUGUAUCCCUGGGUGAACAAUAACCUCAUGUGCCUUCCACAGCACAAAUCAAUGAAGUGCUAUCCAUACCUGUAGCAUCCCAAGUCAACCAACUGACAACUGAACUUUCACCGGAACUGGACUGUGAAAUAGCGAAACUCAACGACCAACCCCAGGAGGAGCCCAAAGAUAGAAGUACCGCCACACCUCUGAGCUGGUCUCCAACAUCACUCCACAGCAGCAUGGCUGAAACCUUAGAGGCCGAGGAGAAGCAGGAGGGAGGAACCUCCACCCUGACUCAGAACCACACAUUGAACCUGACCCACCUCACACAGAGAUCCAAGCCAACAUGCCUUCACUGGAAGAUGUUUCAUAUCAGUGUGCAUCCCGCAACACCAGAAGUAGUGGCGGAGGAGGAAGAUGUAGAGGAGGUGCCUCAGCAGGGGUCGAAGGUGGAGGCGGAGGAUCCAAGGCAGGAAGCAGAGAACGAGACAGAGGACAACAAAGUCCUUCAGAAUUCAGGAGCCAAGCACCAACUUCCCAAGUCUCCUAGAACAUCCCUCAGAUCCCACCAAUUAUUGAGUUCAGUAGAACAGAAGGUAGCAACUCCCAGAUAGAGGUUUCCCUUGAGGCCUCCCCAUCUCUCCCAGAAGUGAUGCUAAGCAGCUGACGUAAAUGGAUGAUGGCAUGGCCAGAGAAGUUUGAGUCUUGAUUAUGGAGGAUACAGGGCCCAGGCUCAAGCGCUCCCAGGCAGAUUGGGAAGAGUUUCCCGGUGUAGUGGCCACUUGCUGUCUUUUGAAGUCACAGACAACACCUCAGCUUCAUCCAUGACUAGGGUUGCACAUUUUGGGGAAUAUUCAGAGGUGGAAACUUUCCUUGGGAAUAUGUGAACUAAUGGAAAUAUGGGAAUUAAUAUCAAUACCAAUUAAAUAUAGAUGUUUUUUGCAUUGGAUAUAUUUACCAUAUAUGGAGACAUAAUUGCAAAUUAUUAAAUCCUUCCAAUAGAAAAAAAAAACUUUAGUUACGAAUUGAACUUAAAUUAAAUUAGCUGACUCUUCACAUGGGAUGAUUUCACUGAACAACAAAAGGGAAUAUCUAAUGAUCCAUCGCAUCUCCCAAAAACGUUCUCAACAUACAUCUGUAAAAUGAUAGUCUAGAAACUAAAGCUUUGGUUGUCUUCCUCAGGCUUCCAUGUCUCCUCCCUGGACCUCCUCAAUGUCCACCUCUUGAACAUCAGACUCUGGGGCCUCAUCUUCACUGUCACUUUCCAACCUUGUUGAGGAUGGCUCGUUGUCAGGCUCAAAAAGCCUAAAAUUUGCCCAGAUGGCCACCAAUUUUUCAACCCUUGUAUUGGUCAGCCUGUUGUGUUCCCAAACAAGGACCAGUUAGGCUCUGAGGCGGCUGAUGUUGGUGGGAUUUGGAGGAUGGAGGCAACAGGGAAAGAGCCUCAGACCCACAAAGUCCCUUCCACCAGGUGGCUGAUGAGAUCUGUUGGCACCACUGCCAUAUUGCAUCUCCAUCCCAAAGCCCUUGCUUGGAAGUGUACUUCGCCAGACUGCCAAGAACCUUGCCCUCAUCCAGUCCAAGGUGGCGAGACACGGUAGUGAUAACACCAUAGGCCUUGUUGAUCUCUGCACCAGACAGGAUGCUCUUGCCAGCAUACUUGGGGUCCAACGUGUACGUUGUGGCGUGUAUGGGCUUCAGGCAGAAGCCUUCACACUUUGAUUUAUUUCAGAACUGCAGUUUCCUGUGCUUGGAGCAACAGUGAAGUGGACAGGGCAGUACGGAGUUCCUCUUACAUCUGCAAGCAGAGUCUGAACAUCAGACAGGAUGGCAUUGUCUCCUAUCAGAUUGUCUCCAUAGACCACUGAGGUACUCUGUAUGUGAAUCUGUCUGCAAUUGCAUUUUACUACUAAAGCGUUUUAUACCAAGGUGUCUGUGUCUUAUCUGGAAGACUGAUUGUUAAAGGAAACUUACAUCACCACAUGCAAAGGACCACCCAACAGUAUCCAUUGUUUUCAGUGCCAUGAUGUCCUUGAGGAGCAGAUUCCAUGCAUGAGCAGCACAGCCAAUGGGUGUGAUGUGAGGGUAGGACUCCUCCACUUUAGACCAAGCAGCCUUCAUGUUCGCAGCAUUGUCUGUCAUCAGUGCAAAUACCUUCUGUGGUCCAAGGUCAUUGAUGACUGCCUUCAGCUCAUCUACAAUGUAGAGACCGGUGUGUCUGUUGUCCCUUGUCUGUGCUCUUGUAGAAUACUGGUUGAGGGGUGGAGAUGAUGGGGUUAAUUAUUCCUUGCCCACGAACAGUUGACCACCCAUCAGAGAUGAUUGCAAUAAUCUGCUUUCUCUGCUUUGCUUGACCUUCACUUGAACUCUGAACUCUGCAUCCAGCAAAUUAGUACAUAAAGCAUGUCUGGUAGGAGGGGUGUAUGCUCGGCGAAGAACAUUCAAAAAUCUCUUCCAAUACACACUGCCUGUGAGCAUCAGAGGUGAACCAGUUGCAUACACAGCUUGAGAAAGACAUUCAUCAGUAUUUCUCUGACUACGUUCCUCCAUUGAGUCAAACUUCUGAUUCCAGGAGGACCAUGAGCUGUUUCUAUCAAUAAGGUGUCUGAUUCAUCAUUUUCACCUCGAAUAGAAGUAGAGGGUCUUUUGUCAGAGGUUGCUUGUUGUGAAUGCUGAGGGAACUUUAUGCACUUGGCCAGAUGAUUCUUGCACAGUAUUUGAAAAUGUACACAGCUUUUCAUUCUACAUUAGCUGCAGUGAAAUAUCUCCACACAUUUCCUGUAAACAUUAGGGGGGAAAAAAUAGUUUAAAAAACAACCAAUACAAUUCCAUGUACCGGUAAAUAGUUAAGCAGUUAGAUUUAAACAGCCCCUUUGUAAGAUUUUUUAAAAAUGGAACAUGUAUGAAAACAGGUGAAUUAACACUCCGUUAGCAGGCUCAAGCAAGCUAAAACCCACAUGGUAUCAAAAACUAACUAGCAGAAAUUGUCAAGUUAGAAAUGAUUUAAACAUACUUUGCUGUAGGCUAUUUACUAGUUUACAAAAAAAUGUUUGUCAUAUAAAAUAUUCACCCCACCCAGUAUUGUAAUCAAAACUUACCAGAAAGCAUGUAGUCCUUGGCUCAGUCAAUGUAGUAGUGUGGGCUAAAUAGCA